rnacentral:rRNA from 1 species
UACGUAGGGGGCAAGCGUUGUCCGGAUUUAUUGGGCGUAAAGAGCGUGUAGGCGGCCAGGUAGGUCGGUUGUGAAAACUGGAGGCUCAACCUUCAGAGGUCGACCGAAACCAUCUGGCUAGAAUCCGGAAGAGGCGAGUGGAAAUUCCUGGUGUAGCGGUGGAAUGCGCAGAUAUCAGGAGGAACACCAAUAGCGAAGGCAGCUCGCUGGGACGGUAUUGACGCUAAGGCGCGAAAAGCGUGGGGGAGCAAACAGG